rnacentral:rRNA from 1 species
AGAGUUUGAUCAUGGCUCAGGACGAACGCUGGCGGCGUGCUUAACACAUGCAAGUCGAGCGAUGAAGUUUCUUCGGAAAUGGAUUAGCGGCGAACGGGUGAGGAACACGUGAAGAAUCUGCCCUCCACUUUGGGAUAACACCGGGAAACCGGUGCUAAUACCGAAUAUUGAAACAUAAGUGGCAUCACUGAGUUUUGAAAGAAUUUCGGUGGAGGAUGACUUCGCGGCCUAUCAGCUAGUUGGUGAGGUAAUGGCUCACCAAGGCAACGACGGGUAGCCGGCCUGAGAGGGCGACCGGCCACACUGGGACUGAGACACGGCCCAGACUCCUACGGGAGGCAGCAGUGGGGAAUAUUGGGCAAUGGAGGAAACUCUGACCCAGCGACGCCGCGUGCGGGAUGAAGGCCUUCGGGUUGUAAACCGCUUUCAGUAGGGAAGAAGCGAAAGUGACGGUACCUACAAAAGAAGCACCGGCUAACUAUGUGCCAGCAGCCGCGGUAAUACAUAGGGUGCAAGCGUUGUCCGGAAUUAUUGGGCGUAAAGAGCUCGUAGGUCGUUUGUUACGUCGGAUGUGAAAACCUGAGGCUCAACCUC